rnacentral:tRNA from 1 species
CGGGGUGUGGGAAAGCCUGGCAAUCCGCCUGGUUCGGGACCAGGAGAGCGCCAGUUCGAAUCUGGCCGCCCCGA